CCUACGGGCGGCAGCAGUGGGGAAUAUUGGACAAUGGGGGCAACCCUGAUCCAGCCAUGCCGCGUGUGUGAAGAAGGCCCUCGGGUUGUAAAGCACUUUCAGUGAGGAAGAACGCCUGGUGGUUAAUACCCAUCAGGAAAGACAUCACUCACAGAAGAAGCACCGGCUAACUCCGUGCCAGCAGCCGCGGUAAUACGGAGGGUGCGAGCGUUAAUCGGAAUUACUGGGCGUAAAGCGCGCGUAGGUGGCUUGAUAAGCCGGUUGUGAAAGCCCCGGGCUCAACCUGGGAACGGCAUCCGGAACUGUCAAGCUAGAGUGCAGGAGAGGAAGGUAGAAUUCCCUGUGUAGCGGUGAAAUGCGUAGAGAUCGGGAGGAAUACCAGUGGCGAAGGCGGCCUUCUGGACUGAAACUGACACUGAGGUGCGAAAGCGUGGGUAGCAAACAGGAUUAGAUACCCUAGUAGUC
rnacentral:rRNA from 1 species